UACGUAGGGGGCAAGCGUUGUCCGGAAUCAUUGGGCGUAAAGAGCGUGUAGGCGGCCAGAUAAGUCCGCUGUGAAAUCUCGAGGCUCAACUUCGAGCUAUCGGUGGAAACUAUCUGGCUAGAGUCCGGAAGAGGAGAAUGGAAUUCCUGGUGUAGCGGUGAAAUGCGCAGAUAUCAGGAAGAACACCCGUGGCGAAGGCGGUUCUCUGGGACGGUACUGACGCUGAGACGCGAAAGCGUGGG
rnacentral:rRNA from 1 species